GUUUUGUUGCACAUUUUACUUUUUUAGAUAACGGUUUCAAAUUGAAUAUCAUCUUUUUUAUCAAAAGUUGUAGAAUUACAUUUAUAUGUAUUUAAUUGUUACUUUUCUGAGAAAUUUAUCAAUUAUUGAAUUUAAUUCAUACUUAUUUAUUUUUUUUAUGAUUUACGAUCAUGUAAUAUUUUUUAGAUGUUGAAUCAUCGGUCUCACUCAAUUGUUUUUUUUUUUUGUGAACCAAUAUAUUUAUAGUGAUGACUUGUAGAUCAGGAAUUGCAUCUUAGAAAUCAAUUAAAAUAGACCAACAGCUGACUAUUUAUAGACUAAUAAAAAUUGUACAGAUCUUCAGAUGGACUUUUCUUUGUAUUUCUCGCCAGUAUUGAGCUGAUGUAUGAUUUGGGCAUAGUCAAACUGAAAAGGAAUUAGCAUUGUUGACAUAUACAUGUACUAGUAUUGAAUAAACUCAAAGACAUGUUUCAUUUCUGAUCAACUUCGAUAUCCCAAAACACAGUCAUUGGCAUUAAUUGAAUCUAUGUCAUUAGUACUAGAUAUAUACUGCAUGGUCAAGCCUUUCCUGCAUGUCAAUACUUAUUUAAUAAGUAAUAUACUAAUAAAUAUUGAAGAUAUAGGGUUACAUGUCUGUAUUUGUAAAACCACUUGCAUACAUUAAAUGUCUAUUUACGU
rnacentral:misc_RNA from 1 species